GAUGAACGCUAGCGACAGGCCUAACACAUGCAAGUCGAGGGGCAGCACAUGAGUAGCAAUACGAUGGUGGCGACCGGCGCACGGGCGAGUAACACGUAUGCAACCUGCCUUCUACUAUGGGAUAACCCGUUGAAAGACGGACUACUACCGUAUAAUACACGGGCUCACCAUGGAGAAAUUUGUUAAAGAUAUAUUGUUAGAAGAUGGGAAUGCGUAUGAUUAGAUAGUUGGUGAGUUCACGGCUCACCAAGUCAACGAUCAUUAGGGGUUAUGAGAGGAAGGUCACCCAAACGGGUAGUGAGACAAGGACCAGACUACUACGGGAGGCAGAAGUGAGGAAUAUUGGUCAAUGGAAGAGAGUCGGAACGAGCCAAGUCGCGUGAAGGAAGACGGUUAUAUGAAUUGUAAACUUCUUUUGUGCAGGAAUAAAGUGGGUUACGUGUAACCUUUUGUAUGUACUGUACGAAUAAGGAUCGGCUAACUCCGUGCCAGCCGCCGCAGUAACAC
rnacentral:rRNA from 1 species